rnacentral:lncRNA from 1 species
AUAACCAUAAUCUAUAUAACUAAGUAGGACUUUGUUGGAACUGUCAAGUCUAUUCUGUCAAAAUUAACAAAAAUUUAAAUUGUUGGAAUCUUAGUAAAGAAAGAUUUAGCACCCGUUUGGUUCAGGGUUAAGGGGUAGAAUAACUCUUUAAUCCGAAAGUUAUUUCCAAACACCUAAUUUGGGGGGUGGGGUUAGCUAACCCGAGCCCAUCCCACUACUUUAAUCAAACAAAAUACUAUUUCACCCAAUAUCCUUCUUAUCCUUCCUAGUCCAACCAAACACUAUUUUAUCUAUACCUGAAUUAAACCCAAUUCUCAAUCAAACGUAAAAUUACUCUAAUCCACCUUAACCCUGAAUUUAACCCUAUUCUUGGAAUAACAAAUUUUUACAUAAGCCCAAACCAAACGGUGGCUUAAAGUUAGAGACCUAGUUAGCCAAAAAAAAAAAGAAUUUAACCCUAUUCUUGAAAUAACAAAUUUUUACAUAAGCCCGAACCAAACGGUGGUUUAAAGAUUAGAGACCUAGUUAGCCCAAAAAAAAAAAGAAAAAAAA